rnacentral:rRNA from 1 species
AUUGAACGCUGGCGGCAGGCCUAACACAUGCAAGUCGAGCGAGCGGCGGACGGGUGAGUAAUGUAUGGGGACUGCCCGAUAGAGGGGGAUAACUACGGGAAACGGUGGCUAAUACCGCAUACUAUCGGAUAACCCAUAUGGGAUUCGCUCGUAGGUGGGGUAAAGGCUCACCUAGGCGACAAUCUAUAGCUGGUCUGAGAGGAUGAUCAGCCACACGGGGACUGAGACACGGCCCAGCCUCCUGCGGAGGCAGCAGUGAGGAAUAUUGCCCAAUGAGCGCAAGACUGAUUCGGCCAUGCCGCGUGUAUGAAGAAGGCCUUAGGGUUGUAGAGUACUUUCAGCGGGGAGGCGUUACCCGCAGAAUAAGCACCGGCUAACUCCGUGCCAGCCGCCGCGGUAAGAC